rnacentral:pre_miRNA from 1 species
AAAGAAGAUAAGGUUGGCCGCGUUGGCAGUGUGGUUAGCUGGUUGUUUAUGUCAUAACAACAGCCACUAGCGACACUGCCUCUGCGUGCAACCUAAAGCAUCG